AGAGUUUGAUCCUGGCUCAGGAUGAACGCUGGCGGCGUGCUUAACACAUGCAAGUCGAGCGGAGAUAUUUAAACGGAAGGUUUCGGCUGGAAGGUUAAAUAUCUUAGCGGCGGACGGGUGAGUAACGUGUGGGCAACCUGCCCUGUACUGUGGAAUAAUCACUGGAAACGGUGACUAAUACCGCAUGUCAUCACAAGGGGGCAUCCCCUUGUGAGAAAAGGAUAUAUUCGGUACAGGAUGGGCCCGCAUCUGAUUAGCUAGUUGGUGAGAUAACAGCCCACCAAGGCAACGAUCAGUAGCCGACCUGAGAGGGUGAUCGGCCACAUUGGGACUGAGACACGGCCCAAACUCCUACGGGAGGCAGCAGUGGGGAAUAUUGCACAAUGGGCGAAAGCCUGAUGCAGCAACGCCGCGUGAAGGAUGAAGGGUUUCGGCUCGUAAACUUCUAUCAAUAGGGACGAAAAAAAUGACGGUACCUAAAUAAGAAGCCCCGGCUAACUACGUGCCAGCAGCCGCGGUAAUACGUAGGGGGCAAGCGUUAUCCGGAAUUACUGGGUGUAAAGGGAGAGUAGGCGGCAUGGUAAGUUAGAUGUGAAAGCCCGGGGCUUAACCUCGGGAUUGCAUUUAAAACUAUCAAGCUAGAGUACAGGAGAGGUAAGUGGAAUUCCUAGUGUAGCGGUGAAAUGCGUAGAUAUUAGGAAGAACACCAGUGGCGAAGGCGACUUACUGGACUGAAACUGACGCUGAGGCUCGAAGGCGUGGGGAGCGAACAGGAUUAGAUACCCUGGUAGUCCACGCCGUAAACGAUGAGUGCUAGGUGUCGGGGGGGAACCCUCGGUGCCGCAGCUAACGCAAUAAGCACUCCACCUGGGGAGUACGAUCGCAAGAUUGAAACUCAAAGGAAUUGACGG
rnacentral:rRNA from 1 species